CCUACGGGUGGCAGCAGUGAGGAAUAUUGGUCAAUGGACGAGAGUCUGAACCAGCCAAGUAGCUUGAAGUCUUCCUUCCCUCUUUUUUUUCCCCUUCUUUUCUCUCUUCCUCCAACGAGGCACGUGUGCCUUUUUGCAUGUACUUUAUGAAUAAGGAUCGGCUAACUCCGUGCCAGCCGCCGCGGUAAUACUGAGUCUCCGAUCGUUAUCCGGAUUUAUUGGGUUUAAAGGGGGCGUAGAUGGGUUGUUAAGUCAGUUGUGAAAGUUUGGGGCUCAACCGUAAAAUUGCAAGUGAUAAUGGCAGUCUUGAGUACAGGUGAGGUAGGCGGAAUUCGUGGUGUAGAGGUGAAAGGCUUAGAUAUCACGAAGAACCCCGAUUGCGAAGGCAGCUUACUAAACUGUGAAGGACAUUGAUGCUCGAAAGUGUGGGUAGCAAACAGGAGGAGAGAAAAGGGGAGGC
rnacentral:rRNA from 1 species